AUAACACCAAGCCAAGUCAGUUUCAACCUUAUAAAAUAUUUACCAGUACACCAUACAAAAUAUCAAUACUCAAUUAACGAGAAUCAUUAAUGGCUGAAAAGUUUACAUAUUAAGGACAUCUUAGAUGUAGACGUAACGCAAGGUCUGACGUAAACAAAUAUUACCGAAAAUACAGCAGCAAAAAGACAAUCAACUACAUGUAUUCCAUAUUACAGCAAUAACCAACAUUUAUGUUUCACAAACAAAUAUUUUUAAGAAAAGAUACAGUCUUGAGAAUGAAUGAACUAUGAAAACCAAAAAGAGAGAACAUUUCUUGACCAAUAGUUCACCUAGGAUGUUACCCUCCAUUCAGAACGCAGUUGAACAUUUUCGAACAGCAAUGACGAGACAGAAAAGUAAUAUAGUGCGUCUCCCCCCUCUGACGAAAAGUCCUGAAUAUUAUGGCGGUCGCAUUAAAUAUAAACAUAGAUCUUCGGAGGAAGCAAUGCGAAACUCGGAAAACUGGGAUAAACUUAAGUUCAUUUUGAGUGAAGAAAGUACAACGAACUCUAUUGACAUGGUGUACGAAGUUAACAAACCGGGAAAUAAUAUGUUGGAUUCCUUAGAAUGUUCUCCUCCGUUGAUAUCUACGUCGAUAUCCAAGGAUAUAUUUGAAAAUAAAGUCAAAGAAUUAAAUUCAAAACGAAACGAUACAAGAAAAACAACAUUGACAAAUUUUGAGGACGAAUUGAAAAUAUCAGAAGAUCACGUGGCAAAAACUUCUCGCAAUGUACACGAUGAAACAAACAAGAAUGUGAAAAUAGAUGCAGAUGACAAAUAUUUCAAAGAGGAAAAUCAGUUGCAAAAAUAUAAUAUCAUAGAAUCAAGAGAACAAAAACCUUUACUGAAGAAAGUGCGAUUCAAUUUAAACGACACUACACAGAGAAAUCAAUUCACCGAAUCGUUUAAAUCUCAACGGUCCAAGAAUAAAAAAUAUUUUCUAACAAAAACUAAAGUUUCAGAUCUCACGAUGCCACACAGUCCGUCAAGCAGGGCAAUCCAUCAGAGCAAAAAAGUGGGACUAGCAAUGAAACAGAUAAUAAGAGGACAAAAUAUUGGCAAAAAUGGUCGGUCACAAAGAUGCUAAGUUAGGUAACACAUUUGCAUAAAAUCCACCAGAACAUGUUGCGAUUUAUGGAAAUCUGUAAAUGACGCCAUUCUCUGGAAUUUUGUUUUCUGGCUGGUACACAUAAAAUAGACUAUCACUUUUCAUAUAAAUCAUGUUCAUGUAUUGUGCAAUAAUGUUUUGAGUGAUAAUAUUAGAACAUAGAACAAAUUAGAACUUUCAAAUACACACUUGAUCAAAAAGUUAUCUUUAAAUUCAGUUAAGCUAUUUUGUUAAAGAUUUGGGGGAAAAGGGUCCAGGGGAAAUUGAUACAGCCACAUGUUACGUAAGUCUUCUAACAUUUAGAAGUUGAUUUCUAAGACACAAAACGCACACUUCUUAAUUAUGUUUUUAACACGCAGUCCUUGAUGUAAAGUUGUACUUAGUUAAUCUAAAUAACAUUUUGAUUUAACACAGGUCGCUUACACACAGGCUUGAUUUUAAUCCGGAAUUACCUGUUGAAUUUAACAAAUAUGCAAAAUGCAAAAAUAUAAGAUUAAAUCAUAUGUGUUUCAUCUUGUUUUUUUAAAAAAAAUUUGCAAAAAAUAUUUGAUAAAAUGACUCAAAAUGAAUUUAAAAAAGUGAGAAGAUUUUGCCCCAAUUAAAUUUGAUGUACUUUCAAGAGAUGUUAAUACAUUUAAAGAUAUACUUCAUUCCACGUAUCCGAGUCAGAGGAGGGACGGCAAUCUGCACACGGCACGUAUAUUGGACUCAAAUUAUCAAAAGGUCGCGGUUAGAAUGUGUCAUUUAUUACAAGCAGUUCGUGCUGUGAACAUCAUCUGGACAGUCGAAAUUUGUCUAUAUCCGAACAUCGAAGUAUUAUAUAAUACUUCCAUGAUCCGAGUAAGUUAGGAAGUAACAACAAUAUCUGCUUCCUACUCGGAAGUUUCACCUAGACUAGGGAUAACAGAUGACAAUCGUGAAUGAAAUCCGUCUGUUACAGUUUUUCGAUUUUUAGUUAGUUCAACUAGUGAAGGUAUGCUAAAUCAACGAAAUAUCUCCUGAAAAGAUUUUCAAUAUCUUAAUCGUAUAUUUUCUGAAUCUGUGAUCGGAAAGUUUUUUGAGUCAUUUGUUAUGAAUUCUAUGUAGCAUAAUUAUUAUUGAUGUAUUUAAAAUGAUGUAAAAUUCA